AUUGAACGCUGGCGGCAGGCCUAACACAUGCAAGUCGAACGAGUGGCGGACGGGUGAGUAAUGUCUGGGAAACUGCCCGAUGGAGGGGGAUAACUACUGGAAACUGUAGCUAAUACCGCAUACCAUCGGAUGUGCCCAGAUGGGAUUAGCUAGUAGGUGGGGUAAUGGCUCACAUAGGCGACGAUCCCUAGCUGGUCUGAGAGGAUUACCAGCAACACGGGAACUGAGACACGGCCCAGACUCCUACGGAAGGCAGCAGUGGGAAAUAUUGCACAAUGGGCGCAAGCCUACUGAAGCCAUGCCGCGUGUAUGAAGAAGGCCUUCGGGUUGUAAAGUACUUUCAGCGGGGAGGCGUUACCCGCAGAAGAAGCACCGGCUAACUCCGUGCCAGCAGCCGCGGUAAUAC
rnacentral:rRNA from 1 species